UACGUAGGGUGCAAGCGUUGUCCGGAAUUAUUGGGCGUAAAGAGCUUGUAGGUGGCUCGUUGCGUCGGGAGUGAAAACUCGGGGCUUAACUCCGGGCCUGCAGUGGGUACGGGCAGACUAGAGUGCGGUAGGGGAGACUGGAAUUCCUGGUGUAGCGGUGAAAUGCGCAGAUAUCAGGAGGAACACCGGUGGCGAAGGCGGGUCUCUGGGCCGUAACUGACGCUGAGGAGCGAAAGCGUGGGGAGCGAACGGG
rnacentral:rRNA from 1 species